rnacentral:lncRNA from 1 species
CAAAUCCAUUAUUAUCGAUGGUGAUUAAGCGGAGAGUGAAGCCACGCGCUCAGCAACAAAAUCCUUAAUCCGCAUAAUUAACUGACCCGACUCCGGUAAUUCAGGGAAAAUAUAAAAAGCAUGAAACAUGUUUGGAUACUCGAUUAACGUUGCUCUUUUCCCGGAUAACUUUAUCCACUCGUAGUAACUUCUUUGCCAAUCUUGUAACGGAUCAAACCCAGCAACAACCACCAUCGUCUCCGGAUACUCCAGAUCCGAUAUAUCCACCGCGUUUGGUCCGCCAACGUUAACCGCUUCAUGAUCCCGGUUUAAUCCCAUCGCUUUCCAGCACCAAUCUGUUCGGCCCGGUGAAACCAGAGGAGCUCCGACGAGUCGUUUCUCCGCCUCCGUUCUCUCUUCUCCGCCGAAGAAAGGUUGGAUCGAGAUGAGUCCGAUGAGUUUCACGGCCGUGAAACAUCCCCGCGGUUCACGGCAAAUUCGAACCGCGACGUUGUGAGCGAUGUUUCCACCAGCGCUGUCUCCGGCGAAGAAGCAUCUCGACAGAUCAGCGUUCGCCGGAAGAACCUUGCCGUGAUUCUCCUCGAGGAACUUCAAAGCAUCGUAUCCGUCGUCGUAUUGAGCAGGAUAACGAUGCUCUGGAGCGAGACGGUAGUUAACGGAGAUGACGUAAGCAGGCAAUUUCCUAGCGAAUCUCCGGCAUACAUUAUCGUAAGGAUACGCAUUAGGACUGAGGAAAGCGAAACCACCGCCGUGGAAGAAAACAACGACGGGGAUUUUAUCGCCGGAGACGUGUGGAGUGUACAAUCGGAACCAGAGAUCACGAGAUUGAUCCACGACGAAAUCGGAGGUGGAGACGGAGUUGACAGGUUUAGGAUUGGGAGGAGCACGGAAAUCGAAGAGGCGGAGGAAACGGCGGUU